rnacentral:rRNA from 1 species
CACACGACUCUCGGCAACGGAUAUCUCGGCUCUCGCAUCGAUGAAGAACGUAGCGGAAUGCGAUACCUGGUGUGAAUUGCAGAAUCCCGCGAACCAUCGAGUCUUUGAACGCAAGUUGCGCCCGAGGCCACUCGGCCGAGGGCACGCCUGCCUGGGCGUCACGC